rnacentral:tRNA from 1 species
GGAGAGAUGCCGGAGUGGAUGAACGGGACGGUUUCGAAAAUCGUUAAAGAAUGUAAUUUUUUCAAGGGUUCGAAUCCCUUUCUCUCCU